rnacentral:rRNA from 1 species
AACGAACGCUGGCGGCGUGCCUAACACAUGCAAGUCGAACGGAAGGGCCCUGCUUUUGGGGGGUGCCCGAGUCGCGAACGGGUGAGUUACACGUGAGUAACCGGCCUUUGAGUUUGGGACAACUUCAGGUAACUGGUGCUAAUACCGGAUAGGAGCUCCAGCGGCAUGGGGUGGGUCGGAGAUUGUCGGCGGUUGUGGAUGGACUAGCGGCUCAUCAGCUGGUGGGGGGGGUAGGGGCUGAGCAAAGCAUCGGCGGGUAUCCGACCUGGGAGGGGGACCGGCGCCAUCGGGCCUGAGAUACGGCCCAGACUCGAAUGGGAGGCAGCGGAGGAGAAUAUUACACAGUGGGCGGGAGCCUGAUGAGACAACGCCGCGCGGGGGAAGACGGCCUUGGGGUUGUAAAGCGCAGUCGCCUGAGACGAAGCGUUAGUGACGGUAAUGGGUGAAUAAGCACCGGCUAACUACGUG